rnacentral:rRNA from 1 species
UACGUAGGGUGCAAGCGUUUGUCCGGAAUUAUUGGGCGUAAAGAGCUCGUAGGCGGUGUGUCACGUCGGCCGUGAAAACCUGCAGCUUAACUGUGGGCGUGCGGUCGAUACGGGCAUCACUGGAGUUCGGCAGGGGAGACUGGAAUUCCUGGUGUAGCGGUGAAAUGCGUAGAUAUUGGGAGGAACACCAGUAGCGAAGGCGGCUCGCUGGGCCAUUCCUGACGCUGAGACGCGAAAAGCUAGGGGAGCGAACAGG